rnacentral:lncRNA from 1 species
UUUAUCAUAAUAAAAUUUUUUGCCACAGUUUGGUUCAGAGUUAAGUAAAAAUUUAUUAUUUCAGGAAUAGGGUUAAGUUCAGCGUUAAGAUAGGGUUAGAGUAAUUUUGUGUUUGGUUGAGAAUUGACUUUAGUCCGGAUAUAGAUAAAAUAUUAUUUAGUUGGAGUAAGUGGGAUAAGAAGGAUAGUAGGUAAAAUAGUAUUUUGUUUGGUUGGAAUAGU